CAGAAUUCCAUACCGUUUGUGCAUUUCUUGCACUCCAUUGACCAUUCCUCUGCUCUUUUGAUUGAUCUCUGUAACCUGAUUUCUCGCUUUCUUUCCUAUUCCUACGAUGAUACGAAGAAAAUGCGAAGAAAGCAAAUUCAUCUUACCGAGCGUGUAUCAUUUCUCUUCUAUGGAUAGAGAAAUCCCAGAAAAAUCUAGAAGGUUGAAAUUUCGAAUAGCCUUGUCCAUCAGAAGAUCAUUGAGCGAUUAUUGAAGAUUUUUAACUGCAAAUGUUUGUUGAUGUUGUAGAAAGUGGGAGGUCUCCUCUGCAGUGUUUGGGAUUGGAUGGACAGAAGAAUUCUCUAAUUUGUAU